rnacentral:tRNA from 1 species
GGGAAUAUGGCUUAGUAGUAAGAGUGCUUGCCUAGCAUGCAUGAAGCCCUGGGUUCAAAUCCUCAGUACCA